GACCAACUACGUUUGUUCUGGUAUAAGCUUUCGUGUGCAUGCACACUUCUUCAGAUACUGAUGGACUUCCAUUUCAUGCAGCUCAAUGUAACAGGUAUCUGAAGAAGCGUGCAUGCACACGAAAGCUUAUACCAGAACAAACGUAG